CUACGGGUCGCACCAGUGAGGAAUAUUGGUCAAUGGACGAGAGUCUGAACCAGCCAUCCCGCGUGCAGGAUGACGGCCCUAUGGGUUGUAAACUGCUUUUCUAUACCAAGAAACCUGUCUACGUGUAGACAGUUGCCGGUAGUAUAGGAAUAAGCAUCGGCUAACUCCGUGCCAGCAGCCGCGGUAAUACGGAGGAUGCAAGCGUUAUCCGGAUUCAUUGGGUUUAAAGGGUGCGCAGGCGGGCUUGUAAGUCAGUGGUGAAAUGCUGCCGCUUAACGGUAGAACUGCCAUUGAUACUGCAAGUCUUGAAUAUGGUUGAGGUAGGCGGAAUGUGUUGUGUAGCGGUGAAAUGCAUAGAUAUGACACAGAACGCCGAUUGCGAAGGCAGCUUACUAAGCCAUAAUUGACGCUGAGGCACGAAAGCGUGGGGAGCGAACAGGAUUAGAUACCCGGGUAGUC
rnacentral:rRNA from 1 species